rnacentral:rRNA from 1 species
UUGGAUUUGGACGUUUGCCGAUGAUAAGUCGGCUCGUCUUAAAAGUAAUAGCUGGAUCUGUCUCGCGACAUGGUUUGACUUGGCGUAAUAAGUAUUUCGCUAAGGACAUCUUCGGAUGGCCCUGUUGCAGACUAAAGACCGCUUUCUAAUCCAUUGAUCUUCGGAUUAAUAUUUCAUAACAUCUGGCCUCAAAUCAGGUAGGACUACCCGCUGAACUUAAGCAUAUCAAUAAGCGGAGGAAAAGAAACUAACAAGGAUUCCCCUAGUAACGGCGAGUGAAGCGGGAAGAGCUCAAAUUUGAAAUCUGGUAGCCUUCGGUUGCCCGAGUUGUAAUCUAGAGAAGUGUUUUCCGCGUUGGCCCAUGUACAAGUCCCUUGGAACAGGGCGUCAUAGAGGGUGAGAAUCCCGUCCUUGACAUGGACCCCCAAUGCUUUGUGAUACACUUUCAACGAGUCGAGUUGUUUGGGAAUGCAGCUCAAAAUGGGUGGUGAAUUCCAUCUAAAGCUAAAUAUUGGCGAGAGACCGAUAGCGAACAAGUACCGUGAGGGAAAGAUGAAAAGCACUUUGGAAAGAGAGUUAAACAGUACGUGAAAUUGUUGAAAGGGAAACGAUUGAAGUCAGUCAUGCUCUUUGGUUUAAGCCGUUCUGCGGUGUAUAUCAUUGAGUGGGGUCAACAUCAGUUUUGACCGCUGGAAAAGGGCAGGAGGAAGGUAGCACUCUCGGGUGAACUUAUAGCCUCCCGUCGUAUACAGUGGUUGGGACUGAGGAACGCAGCAUGCCUUUUGGCCGGGAUUCG